GAGCUCCCUGGAGACUCCCUGCGACGCCGCUUGCUUCGAAGACCGAAGAGCAGGUCCCGAACGGAGUCUCGGGAGUGUGCGACGUCGGCUCCAGUCCCAAGACGCCUGCGCGCUGUGAUACCGAGGCUGAGCCUGGGCUUUGAGCUUCUUACCGGAAGUGCCGGAGGAGAUUCCACGGAGACGCGAUUGCGGAAGAUCGGCCUUAGGUCUGGCGUCAGUUUCCCACUACACGUUUCGGGAACGAGGUCGGGAAGCGCCCCGCGCCACUGCUCGGCCUCCUUUGCCCUUCGCUGACCUAGAAGUGGCUUCCUUCGCCCUCAUCCUCUAGCGUCCUCAGCCGGCUCAGAGAUCCGGCCUGCACCGGACACACCCGCCUGCCUGACAGCUAACCCCGCCGGCUCGCCGCGCUGCUGUCCUCGAAAACCCGUUGACUUCAGAUCUGUUUUGCAAGCCCCCUGCGCUGCCCUGGCCGCAACGAAAAUGCUCCUAACCCUCCCAGAGCUUCAGGCCCCCCAGCUGACUGGCCAUUUCCGUCGGCGGCCCGGUCCUUCCCUCUCCUUGCUUUAGUUCUGCUUUUCCUAACAGUGGCCACAAGGAUAGCUGCCUCCUUCUAACAACAAAAGCUAAUCUGAUGGAGAAAAAAAUGGCAUGCAUGUAUGUGAUGUGUAUUUCUGUUCGUUGACCUUCACUGUCUUUACCACAAGUUUCUUAAAAGUCUAAAUGAGGGAAGAAGAAACAUCUCCGUGUGUGGGGGGAUUAAGGUAUCAUUACUGGGUGGGGGUGGGAGGGGACAAAAGGUUUUACCAGUUCAGAUUUCAAAACUAGCCCUUCAAAACUUCACUGGUCACAGUAUGUCAGGAGUAUUUCAGUCAGAUGUGAUUAUGGGGGAAAAUUUAAGAAUCAGUGCUCAAAUUCUAAAUCUGCAAUUGACAAGUUUGUUAUCAGCUCAGUGUUAAUUUUCUUUAUCUAAUCUUGAGUUUCCUAAACUCUGAAAUGGAAGCAUGUGGUUUUAGUUCACCAGCGAAGCUUUUAUUGGCUGCUUAAAAUAAUCUAUUGAAGAUCUGAUAUGUGACAGGCACUGCGUUAAAUGCUUUGCUUAUUAUUUCAUUUUUAUCCUAAGUAAAAUUUGGAAAGCAUAGUGUUUAUUUUCUUUGUGUUAGGUGUUGUUCACACAUAAAUUAAAAAUGAGAUAACUGUCUUUAUGGAACCACAGUUAAAUAGUAUACAGGGUCCAGAAGUAAUAUGUGCUUGAGUGUGGUUGGUAGGGUAAUAACAUGGGUGUAAUAAUUUGUAGUUUUAUUUUGAACAUUUCACCUACAAUGCCAUAUGGUUUUUGAGUGUGAUAUUGUUUAUGUUACAGAGUUAUAUGCUUAUGACUUUGUAAUAAAAAAGGUGUUAUUUGU